rnacentral:rRNA from 1 species
GGGGAAAGGACUUCACAUGGACGAAGUCUGACGGAGCAACGCCGCGUGAGUGAUGAAGGUUUUCGGAUCGUAAAGCUCUGUUGUUAGGGAAGAACAAGUGCAAGAGUAACUGCUUGCACCUUGACGGUACCUAACCAGAAAGCCACGGCUAACUACGUGCCAGCAGCCGCGGUAAUACGUAGGUGGCAAGCGUUGUCCGGAAUUAUUGGGCGUAAAGGGCUCGCAGGCGGUUUCUUAAGUCUGAUGUGAAAGCCCCCGGCUCAACCGGGGAGGGUCAUUGGAAACUGGGAAACUUGAGUGCAGAAGAGGAGAGUGGAAUUCCACGUGUAGCGGUGAAAUGCGUAGAGAUGUGGAGGAACACCAGUGGCGAAGGCGACUCUCUGGUCUGUAACUGACGCUGAGGAGCGAAAGCGUGGGGAGCGAACAGGAUUAGAUACCCUGGUAGUCCACGCCGUAAACGAUGAGUGCUAAGUGUUAGGGGGUUUCCGCCCCUUAGUGCUGCAGCUAACGCAUUAAGCACUCCGCCUGGGGAGUACGGUCGCAAGACUGAAACUCAAAGGAAUUGACGGGGGCCCGCACAAGCGGUGGAGCAUGUGGUUUAAUUCGAAGCAACGCUAAGAACCUUACCACGUCUUGACAUCCUCUGACAACCCUAGAGAUAGGGCUUUCCCUUCUGGGACAGAGUGACAGGUGGUGCAUGGUUGUCCUCAGCUCGUGUCACGAGAUGUUGGGUUAAGUCCCGCAACCAGCUCAACCCUUAGAUCUUUAGUUGUC